GUGCUCACUACAGGAGCACAUACACUAAAGUUGGAAUGAUACAGAGAAGAUUAGCAUGGCCCCUGUGCAAAGAUGACAUGCAAAUUCGUGAAGCAUUCCAUAUUUUU
rnacentral:snRNA from 1 species